CCUACGGGUGGCAGCAGUGAGGAAUAUUGGUCAAUGGGCGAGAUCCUGAACCAGCCAAGUCGCGUGAGGGAAGACGGCCCUAUGGGUUGUAAACCUCUUUUGUCGGGGAGCAAAGCCCGUCACGUGUCCCGCAUUGAGUGUCUCCGAAGAAAAAGCAUCGGCUAACUCCGUGCCAGCAGCCGCGGUAAUACGGAGGAUGCGAGCGUUAUCCGGAUUUAUUGGGUUAAAGGGGUGCGCAGGCGGAGGUGCAAGUCAGCGGUCAAAUUGCGGGGCUCAACCCCGUACUGCCGUUGAAACUGGAACACUUGAGUGCGCGAGAAGUAUGCGGAAUGCGUGGUGUAGCGGGGAAAUGCAUAGAUAUCACGCAGAACUCCGAUUGCGAAGGCAGCAUACCGGCGCGAGACUGACGCUGAUGCACGAAAGCGUGGGUAUCGAACAGGAUUAGAUACCCGAGUAGUC
rnacentral:rRNA from 1 species